GAUGAACGCUAGCGGCAGGCUUAAUACAUGCAAGUCGAGGGGUAUUAGGAGCUUGCUUUUAAGAGACCGGCGAACGGGUGCGUAACGCGUAUGCAACCUACCUUUAUCAGGGGGAUAGCCCAGAGAAAUUUGGAUUAAUACCGCAUAAUAUACUGAAUGGCAUCAUUUAGUAUUGAAAGAUUUAUUGGAUAGAGAUGGGCAUGCGUAGGAUUAGCUAGUUGGUGAGGUAACGGCUCACCAAGGCAACGAUCCUUAGGGGCUCUGAGANGAGUAACCCCCACACUGGUACUGAGAUACGGACCAGACUCCUACGGGAGGCAGCAGUAGGGAAUAUUGGUCAAUGGACGGAAGUCUGAACCAGCCAUGCCGCGUGCAGGAAGAUUGCCCUCUGGGUUGUAAACUGCUU
rnacentral:rRNA from 1 species